UACGGAAGGGGGCUAGCGUUGCUCGGAAUCACUGGGCGUAAAGCGCACGUAGGCGGAUUGCUAAGUCAGGGGUGAAAUCCUGGAGCUCAACUCCAGAACUGCCUUUGAUACUGGCGAUCUCGAGUCCGGGAGAGGUGAGUGGAACUGCGAGUGUAGAGGUGAAAUUCGUAGAUAUUCGCAAGAACACCAGUGGCGAAGGCGGCUCACUGGCCCGGUACUGACGCUGAGGUGCGAAAGCGUGGGGAGCAAACAGG
rnacentral:rRNA from 1 species